UACGAAGGGGGCUAGCGUUGUUCGGAAUCACUGGGCGUAAAGCGCACGCAGGCGGAUCGUUAAGUCGGGGGUGAAAUCCCGAGGCUCAACCUCGGAACUGCCUUCGAUACCGGCGAUCUUUGAGUCCGGGAGAGGUGAGUGGAACUCCGAGUGUAGAGGUGAAAUUCGUAGAUAUUCGGAAGAACACCAGUGGCGAAGGCGGCUCACUGGCCCGGUACUGACGCUCAGGUGCGAAAGCGUGGGGAGCAAACAGG
rnacentral:rRNA from 1 species